UCUCCAACGUGAAGGCAAUGCGAGGAGAAGAACAUAUGAACUUUGGAAUAUCGACCUGUACUACAAGGUAUUUCUCGCGGUACAGACGCUCCCCUCAAGGUCAACGCGCGCCCACUCUCCGCGUCUUGUUUCCGGUCCCCCCGCGAUGAUCGUGCACGCCUCCGCCUCCAGCGCGCACGCCCUCCCGCCUUGGCCCAUCACGCGUAACCAUUGCCGCCCCUCGCCCAAGGCCGCCGCCAAUCGCAACCCGAGACGCGCCCUUCCGCCGCCGCGCAAGCGCCCAUCCGCCCAACCCCGCGCGCGCUAGCCCACGCUGCCGAUCUGCGCAACACCACGGUGAGGCCUUGUACCGCCGCCUGUACAAUCGAAGGGGUCAGAGGAGAGAGAACCAUCGUUCCCCAUUUGGUUUCUCUACCUGCUCUCGAUCUCCUCCGAUUGAUGCCGCUUCCACCGAUAUAUUCGUCUAAUACGCACAAUUGAGGGAGGGAUUGGAUGACGAAGUUACCACCCAGGAGCAGGGGAUGGGGUCAUUGUUGUUCCUCGUCGAUGGCAUCUCCGCUCCCACGCCGCUACCAUAGCCGCCACCGUGUCGGCCGACGACCGGCAAAACCUUGUCCCGCCGCAGAGGUCUCUGCUGACUCCUGCCCCGGAGGAGCUUGUGGCCCGCGCCUUCUCCCCCGUCACGGCCGCCUCCCUCCACCUGCCUCCCAUCUGCGACACCCUCACUAGUGCGGGGAGCAGGGCCAGCAGCACGCCCCCCCUGGAGAAAAACUCGAAGCGCCAGUUCCAGCGUGAGGGCAAGCAGGUAAUCUGUAAUAACUAAGGUGAGCUGCUUUGCUCUAAUUCCCCAACAUUAUGCAGAUGUGUGGUGCAUUCCACGUGUUUGUGGUAAUUCCUAGAUGUAGUUGCUCUGAACUUGGAUGGCACUUUGGUCCUGCCUGGUUGUCAUGUCCUGUUGGUUACCGUCUGCGGCGAACAUUGAUCCAUCGCUGGUUGCGUACGAUGACAAAAUAAAACAAGGGAUCGAUCAUGGGAAUGUGUAUUCCCGUGACCAUGAAGCAAUGGUUGCGGAAACUCUUUACUCCUGCAACUGCAAAAACUAAAGUGGUGAAAUAUGCACGGCUAUGUGGCAAAGCUUCGCGAGUUCUUCUAUAGAAGGCAAGACUGGGACUGAUGGUGCUCAAGCUGGAGGUGAUAGAAUGAGUAGAAGAUGUGGAAGUGUUGGGAUCUUGGUGUUUUUUUGUUUGUAGAUGUAGAUGAUGCAGUAAGUAGAAGACGUGGAAGUGUCAGGUGUUUGAUUUCUUUUGGUUCGCUUGUAGUUGCCGUAGAGUACGUUUUUCCUGCUUAGUUUCAAAUUUGUGUAACUGAUUUUCAACCUUGGAUUUGGAGCGACAUGUUUACUAUAAUACACUUUGUACCGUGCUUUCGUUGAAUUUAAUAUGAGGUGAUGCUA